rnacentral:rRNA from 1 species
GUAGGGCGCAAGCGUUGUCCGGAAUUAUUGGGCGUAAAGAGCUCGUAGGCGGUUUGUCGCGUCUGCUGUGAAAGCCCGGGGCUUAACCCCGGGUGUGCAGUGGGUACGGGCAGACUUGAGUGCAGUAGGGGAGACUGGAAUUCCUGGUGUAGCGGUGAAAUGCGCAGAUAUCAGGAGGAACACCGAUGGCGAAGGCAGGUCUCUGGGCUGUUACUGACGCUGAGGAGCGAAAGCAUGGGGAGCGAACAGGAUUAGAUACCCUGGUAGUCCAUGCCGUAAACGUUGGGCACUAGGUGUGGGGAACAUUCCACGUUUUCCGCGCCGUAGCUAACGCAUUAAGUGCCCCGCCUGGGGAGUACGGCCGCAAGGCUA